rnacentral:ncRNA from 2 species
ACGGCUCAGCCGGAGGUAGGGUCC